rnacentral:rRNA from 1 species
UUGGGUCAUUGAAAUUUAAACUUCCCAAAACCCCUGUGAACAUACCAAUUGUUGCCUCGGCGGAUCAGCCCGCUCCCGGUAAAACGGGACGGCCCGCCAGAGGACCCCUAAACUCUGUUUCUAUAUGUAACUUCUGAGUAAAACCAUAAAUAAAUCAAAACUUUCAACAACGGAUCUCUUGGUUCUGGCAUCGAUGAAGAACGCAGCAAAAUGCGAUAAGUAAUGUGAAUUGCAGAAUUCAGUGAAUCAUCGAAUCUUUGAACGCACAUUGCGCCCGCCAGUAUUCUGGCGGGCAUGCCUGUUCGAGCGUCAUUUCAACCCUCAAGCCCCCGGGUUUGGUGUUGGGGAUCGGCGAGCCCUUGCGGCAAGCCGGCCCCGAAAUCUAGUGGCGGUCUCGCUGCAGCUUCCAUUGCGUAGUAGUAAAACCCUCGCAACUGGUACGCGGCGCGGCCAAGCCGUUAAACCCCCAACUUCUGAAUGUUGACCUCGGAUCAGGUAGGAAUACCCGCUGAACUUAAGCAUAUCUAAAGCGGGGAGGAAA